UGCCAUCAUUCAGUUGGGCACUCUGGAAGAACUGCCGGUGAUAAGCCGGAGGAAGGUGUGGACGACGUCAAGUCCUCAUGGCCCUUACGGGUUGGGCUACACACGUGCUACAAUGGUGGUGACAAUGGGAUAAUCCCCAAAAGCCAUCUCAGUUCGGAUUGGGGUCUGCAACUCGACCCCAUGAAGUCGGAAUCGCUAGUAAUCGCGUAACAGCAUGACGCGGUGAAUACGUUCCCGGGCCUUGUACACACCGCCCGUCACACCAUGGGAAUUGGGUCUACCCGACGACGGUGCGCCAACCUCGCAAGAGGAAGCAGCCGGCCACGGUAGGCUCAGUGACUGGGGUG
rnacentral:rRNA from 1 species